CCUACGGGAGGCAGCAGUGGGGAAUAUUGGACAAUGGGCGAAAGCCUGAUCCAGCAAUGCCGCGUGAGUGAUGAAGGCCUUAGGGUUGUAAAGCUCUUUUACCAGGGAUGAUAAUGACAGUACCUGGAGAAUAAGCUCCGGCUAACUCCGUGCCAGCAGCCGCGGUAAUACGGAGGGAGCUAGCGUUGUUCGGAAUUACUGGGCGUAAAGCGUACGUAGGCGGUUAUUCAAGUCAGAGGUGAAAGCCUGGAGCUCAACUCCAGAACUGCCUUUGAAACUAGAUAGCUAGAAUCUUGGAGAGGUGAGUGGAAUUCCGAGUGUAGAGGUGAAAUUCGUAGAUAUUCGGAAGAACACCAGUGGCGAAGGCGACUCACUGGACAAGUAUUGACGCUGAGGUACGAAAGCGUGGGGAGCAAACAGGAUUAGAUACCCUGGUAGUCCACGCCGUAAACGAUGAUAACUAGCUGUUCGGGCUCUACGAGCUUGAGUGGCGCAGCUACGCAUUAAGUUAUCCGCCGUCGGGAGGUACGGUCGCGAGAUUAAACUAACAAGAAAGUUAGACGGCGUGAGACGUGCCGACGGACGACGACGAGGGAGGUAGG
rnacentral:rRNA from 1 species